GAUGAACGCUGGCGGCGUGCCUAAUACAUGCAAGUCGAGCGAACAGACGAGGAGCUUGCUCCUCUGACGUUAGCGGCGGACGGGUGAGUAACACGUGGAUAACCUACCUAUAAGACUGGGAUAACUUCGGGAAACCGGAGCUAAUACCGGAUAAUAUAUUGAACCGCAUGGUUCAAUAGUGAAAGACGGUUUUGCUGUCACUUAUAGAUGGAUCCGCGCCGCAUUAGCUAGUUGGUAAGGUAACGGCUUACCAAGGCAACGAUGCGUAGCCGACCUGAGAGGGGGAGGGGCCACACGGGAACUGAGACCCGGUCCAGCCUCCUCCGGGAGGCAGAGGUGGGGAUCUUUCCGAAGUGGGCGAAGGCCGGACGGAACCACGCCGGGGGGGGGGAAAGGGUCUUGGGAUCGUAAAACUUUUUUAUUGGGGAAGAACAAGUGUGUAAGAAAUUAUCCCCGUCUUGGCGAUACUUAAACAAAAGGCCCCGCCCACCUCCGUC
rnacentral:rRNA from 1 species